rnacentral:rRNA from 1 species
GGACGACCAGCCACACUGGAACUGAGACACGGUCCAGACUCCUACGGGAGGCAGCAGUGGGGAAUUUUGGACAAUGGGCGCAAGCCUGAUCCAGCAAUGCCGCGUGAGUGAAGAAGGCCUUCGGGUUGUAAAGCUCUUUUGUCAGGGAAGAAACGGCUGUGGCUAAUAUCCACGGCUAAUGACGGUACCUGAAGAAUAAGCACCGGCUAACUACGUGCCAGCAGCCGCGGUAAUACGUAGGGUGCAACCGUUAAUCGGAAUUACUGGGCGUAAAGCGUGCGCAGGCGGUUUUGUAAGUCUGUCGUGAAAUCCCCGGGCUCAACCUGGGAAUUGCGAUGGAGACUGCAAGGCUAGAAUCUGGCAGAGGGGGGUAGAAUUCCACGUGUAGCAGUGAAAUGCGUAGAGAUGUGGAGGAACACCGAUGGCGAAGGCAGCCCCCUGGGUCAAGAUUGACGCUCAUGCACGAAAGCGUGGGGAGCAAACAGGAUUAGAUACCCUGGUAGUCCACGCCCUAAACGAUGUCUACUAGUUGUCGGGUUUUAAUUAACUUGGUAACGCAGCUAACGCGUGAAGUAGACCGCCUGGGGAGUACGGUCGCAAGAUUAAAACUCAAAGGAAUUGACGGGGACCCGCACAAGCGGUGGAUGAUGUGGAUUAAUUCGAUGCAACGCGAAAAACCUUACCUACCC